rnacentral:lncRNA from 1 species
AUAGCAACAUUUACAUAGGAAACCAAUUCAUCUUUGGCAUAUACAUAGGAGAAAACCGUUUCAAUCAGCAGCCCCAUGAUCAUUUUGUGUCUUCUCUUUCUCUGAUCACUCUCUCUCAAGUUGUCCAUUGAAUCGCAUCCAAAUUACCAUGAAUUGGGUCUUAAAUAAUUAGGAGCAAUAUUUCUGUUGCUUUGUCAUGCCUAGCCGUCAUUAACAAAUAUGCAGUCUCUCUCCCCAUAUUAGCAAACUCGCACCUCUUUCAUUGAGUUUACACAUUCUUUAUACCAUUUAGAUUCAUAUGCCUCCACCACCUGGUCCAUCCAAAAGAUUUGCUCAGUCUCUCACAAGUAUUCAUCUAGCAAUCAUUUCUAAAAAUUCAUCAUGUCUGCAACACGCUAGUUCUUGGUUUCUACGGUCCGAUCUUCAAAAAUUUGAGGUAUAGAGUCGUGGAUUAGGAAGGAAAGCGGUUCAAGGUAAGGGCUUUUUCCGUCCAUACUAAGUGCUAGGUUGUGUUAAGUAGAGGUAGCAAUUCUUGUCUUUUAAAAAGAAAAAUAAUUAAAACGUAAUUUCAUGGUAAAAUUAAUCCUUUCUAAAAGUAAUUGGUAUUAAUUAUGAGUGAUUAUUCUUAAUUAUGUUUUAUAUGAAAGUUGUGUACGAUAAUGUGAUGCGAGUUGAUAUAUUUUAUAUUAUUAUGCUUUAUAUGUUUUUUUUAUGUUGGAAAAGUAAUGUUACAUUUUUGACGAAUUAAAGAAAAAAAAGAACGAUGAAAAUGUGUGUUUGUGAAAUGAUUGAAUUUUGGUUUGUGUACUUGAUCAUGCAUUAAUACUUGAUUGUAAUUGCCUUAGUGGCAAGUUAAUAUCAUAUUUCUUAGUGGUGCCUAAGUGGCGGGUUAUAAUUAUAUUAUGUGUGGUGCCUUAGUGGCGGAUUUAGUCUGCAUUUCCAUGAUCAUGCAUGGCAUAUGCAUCUGUGUGGUCUCUUAGUAGCGGGAAUUGCAAUUAUAUUCUGUGUGGAUGCCUUAGUGUCGGGAAUUAUAUCCGUAUUAUAUAGUUAUAAGAGCAUGCAUCUUACGCAUAAUUGCAUUGAGUCGGUUGUAUAUUUGUGAUUUUAUAAUUGAUUAAACUAUUAUAAUGUAAAUGAAAUAUGCGUGAACUUUACUUAAAGAAUAUGACUUGAAUGUAAUUUCAUAAAUCUUUUUGAUUGAGAAGUUUUGAUAUUAUCUACUUUAUGACAUUGUUUAUGGUGUUUUGAGUAUGAACCAAUUUGGAUAAGGAAAUUGACCCUUACACUAAUAUUUUAGGUACGAAAGAAGAGAUGGUUUAUGCUUUGAAGUUUUUGCUUAAAGUGCGUACGAGGAACAAAUUGGGUUUUUGAUCGAAUUGUAAAUUUUAAAGGAUAUUUAUUUUAGGAAUUUUUAUUAAAUUAUAUUAAGAAUUUUGUAUAGAUUUUGCUAAGAAUUUAGGCUUAUUAGAUCGUUUGGUCCCUUAUUUAAUUUCAUGUUUUCAUUUUGGUCCCACAAUUAAUAAAAAUG